AUUGAACGCUGGCGGCAGGCCUAACACAUGCAAGUCGAACGAGUGGCGGACGGGUGAGUAAUGUCUGGGAAACUGCCCGAUGGAGGGGGAUAACUACUGGAAACGGUAGCUAAUACCGCAUAACAUCAGAUGUGCCCAGAUGGGAUUAGCUAGUAGGUGGGGUAACGGCUCACCAAGGCGACGAUGCCUAGCGGGUCUGAGAGGGUGACCGGCCACACUGUGACUGAGCCACGGCCCAGACUCCUACGGGAGGCAGCAGUGGGGAAUCUGCGGCAAUGGACGCAAGUCUGAUAGAGCAACGCCGCGUGAUUGAAUAAGGUUUUCGGAUUGUAAAGUACUGUCGUCAGAGAGGCGUUACUCAACGAAAAAGCAACGGCUAACUCCGUGCCAGCAGCCGCGGUAAUAC
rnacentral:rRNA from 1 species